GACGAACGCUGGCGGCGUGCCUAAUACAUGCAAGUCGAGCGAGCGGAACCAACAGAUUUACUUCGGUAAUGACGUUGGGAAAGCGAGCGGCGGAUGGGUGAGUAACACGUGGGUAACCUACCUCAGAGAGGGGAAUAGCCUUCCGAAAGGAAGAUUAAUACCGCAUAAUAUACACAUUUAGCAUUAUGAGUGUAUCAAAGGAGAAAUCCGCUUUGAGAUGGGCCCGCGGCGCAUUAGCUAGUUGGGGAGGUAACGGCUCCCCAAGGCGACGAUGCGUAGCCGACCUGAGAGGGUGAUCGGCCACAUUGGAACUGAGACACGGUCCAG
rnacentral:rRNA from 1 species